UGGGUGGACGCAAACCACCAACCUUUCUUUUAGCAGCCAAGCGUGUUAACCAUUUGUACCACCCAGGGACUCCUUAAGAAGAAAUGGAAGUAUAUAAUACCUCUUUACAAUGACUCCAUCAUUGAAAUAUUCCCACACUUAAAAGACUAAUCUGUGUUUAUCUGGAAAAUUCCUUUACCUGGUACGUGUGCCCAGUGAUGCAAGGUCUGGGAUGCUGCUCAAGCUAAGAUGCUUUGCAACGAGCAUACCCUCCUCACUGGCUAGUACUUGAGAGCUUUUUUUUUUCCUGAGGAAUUGGCUUCUCUGCGUGGUGCAGAGAUGGCUGCCUUUGCCUCUUAUCCUGUUUCCUGUUGUUGCAGAUGUGCUGUUGCUGGGAGAGGUGUCCGCUCGAAGGUGAAGUCUGCUAAGCUGCUCGAGGUUCUGAACGCUCUGGAGAAGGAAGAGUUCAGCAACGACAGGGAAGAGAUUUUCAUCUCACCACCUGAGAAUGCUGCAGGGGACUUCACUGACGAGGACUCAGGUGAUGAAGACAGCCGGCGUGGUGCUCACCUGCCGGGGAGCAUGCUGCAUGCCACUGUCGUGUCUGAGGACUCUGGUACUGGGGAAGAUAAUGAUGACCUGGAGCUGCAGCCAGCAAAGAAGAGGCAGAAAACCAUAGUCGAACCUCAGCGGGUUUGGACCAAAAGAGAUCUCCGACCUGACUUUGGCAGUUGGACAGCAUCAGAUCCUCAUAUUGAGUAUCUCAAAAGUCAGGAACUGAGUCCUGUAGGCCUCUUUGAAUUAUUUUUUGAUGAAGGAACAAUUAAUUUCAUUGUUAAUGAAACCAAUCGUUAUGCUCGGCAAAAAAAUGUCAACCUAGGUCUCACAGCCCAGGAAUUGAAGUGUGUUUUGGGCAUUUUGAUUUUAAGUGGGUAUAUCUCCUAUCCAAGGAGAAGGAUGUUUUGGGAAACAUCUCCUGAUUCACAUCACCACCUUGUGGCUGAUGCAAUCAGAAGGGACAGAUUUGAACUGAUUUUCUCAUACUUGCAUUUUUCAGAUAACAAUGAACUCAAUGAAAGUGAUAGAUUUGCCAAGGUCAGGCCUCUCAUUAUCCGAAUGAACUGCAAUUUCCAGAAGCACGCGCCCUUAGAAGAGUUUUACAGCUUCGGUGAGUCCACAUGUGAGUACUUUGGGCACCGAGGAUCCAAGCAGCUGCACACAGGAAAGCCCAUCCGACUUGGUUACAAGAUCUGGUGUGGGACAACCAGCAGAGGCUAUUUGGUGUGGUUUGAGCCCUCGCAGGGCACAUUGUUCACCAAGCCAGACAAAGGUUUGGAUUUAGGAGGUAGCAUGGUGAUAAAAUUUGUGGAUGCACUUCAGGAGCGAGGCUGUCUGCCAUACCACAUAUUUUUUGACAAGGUUUUUACAAGUGUCAAACUGAUGUCCAUUUUGAGGAAAAAGGGGGUGAAGGCCACAGGAACUAUCCGUGAGUACAGGACCGAGAGAUGUCCCCUCAAAGAUCCCAGAGAACUGAAAAAGAUGAAGAGGGGUUCAUUUGAUUACAAGGUUGAUGAGAGUGAGGAGAUCAUUGUGUGCCGCUGGCAUGACAGCAACGUGGUCAACAUCUGCUCCAAUGCAGUGGGCAUAGAGCCUGUGAGGCUCACAAGUCGUUAUUUGGGGGCUGCCAAGACACGGACCCAGGUCCACCAGCCAUCGCUGGUGAGGCUGUACCAGGAGAAAGUGAGGGGUGUUGGGCGCAUGGACCAGAAUAUCGCCAAGUACAAGGUGAAGAUCCGGGGCAUGAAGUGGUACUCGAGCUUCAUUGGCUACGUCAUUGAUGCUGCUCUCAACAAUGCAUGGCAGCUGCACAGAAUCUGCUGUGAAGAUGCCCAGGUGGACCUCCUUGCCUUCCGGAGAUACGUUGCCUGUGUGUAUCUGGAGAGCAAUGCUGACACAUCCUCCCAAGGAAGGCGGAGCAGGCGGCUAGAAACUGAGAGCCGCUUUGAUAUGAUUGGCCAUUGGAUCAUCCACCAGGACAAGAGGACCCGGUGUGCCCUCUGCCACUCUCAGACCAACACCCGGUGUGAGAAGUGCCAGAAGGGCGUCCAUGCCAAGUGCUUUCGGGAGUACCACAUCAGAUGAACUUCCAGUUUUGCAUACAUCUAGUUUUGGAGUAAAACUUAAGUGCCCAUCAACAGAUGAAUGGAUAAACAAACUAUGGUAAAUACGCAGAAUGGAAUACUAUGCAACAGUAAAGAACAAUGGGGGAAGAAAAAAAGACAACUGCUGCUUUUGACCAAUAUUCAAAUAUCAAACACCUACUGAGCAUUCAUUGCAUUGUUGGGGAGAAAAUAUUUCUUUUUCACAAAAAAUGGUGAGUUGAUUUGACAAUUGGAAGCUAAUCUAAGCUUCUUUUUUUUCUUUAAUUAAAAAAAUACACUCAAUCAUACCAUCUUCUCAGUCUUGUCUAUUGAGCAUUUUUAAGUACCUUCUCUUUUCCUCAAUCCUGAAAUCAUUGCCUUACUCCAGGUCUUCAUCCUUUCUUUCCUAGACUCUUUUCUAGCAAAGUAUUCCAACUGAAUCAAAACAGAGUUUGGAAUCUGACAUUAUCAGUUAGAGUUCUUAAGUGAAAGCACAGAGAUAAGUUCAGCCCAAUUCAAUCAGAAUAUUAUUAUAUGAAAAUAGAAUCUCUAGAAAUGUAGGUGAUUCAGGUUUAAAGAUCAUUAGCAAAGCUCAAUAUGUGCCUGAGAAUGAGUC